CCUACGGGAGGCAGCAGUGGGGAAUAUUGCACAAUGGGGGGAACCCUGAUGCAGCAAUGCCGCGUGGGUGAAGAAGAACUCCGGUGCGUAAAGCCCUGUCAGCAGGGAAGAAAAUGACAGUACCUGGACAAGAAGCCCCGGCUAACUACGUGCCCGCAGCCGCGGUAAUACGUAGGGGGCAAGCGGUAUCCGGAUUUACGGGGUGUAAAGGGAGCGCAGGCGGCGUGGCAAGUCAGAUGUGAAAACCCGGGGCCCAACCCCGGGAGUGCAUUUGAAACUGCCAUGCUGGAGUGCCGGAGAGGUAAGCGGAAUUCCUAGUGUAGCGGUGAAAUGCGUAGAUAUGACGAAGAACCCCGAUUGCGAAGGCAGCUUGCUGCAGCGGAACUGACGCUGAUGCUCGAAAGCGCGGGUAUCGAACAGGAUUAGAUACCCUAGUAGUC
rnacentral:rRNA from 1 species